CACUCCUGCGGGAGGCAGCAGUGGGGAAUUUUGGACAAUGGGCGAAAGCCUGAUCCAGCCAUGCCGCGUGCAGGAUGAAGGCCUUCGGGUUGUAAACUGCUUUUGUACGGAACGAAACGGCCUUUUCUAAUAAAGAGGGCUAAUGACGGUACCGUAAGAAUAAGCACCGGCUAACUACGUGCCAGCAGCCGCGGUAAUACGUAGGGUGCAAGCGUUAAUCGGAAUUACUGGGCGUAAAGCGUGCGCAGGCGGUUAUGUAAGACAGUUGUGAAAUCCCCGGGCUCAACCUGGGAACUGCAUCUGUGACUGCAUAGCUAGAGUACGGUAGAGGGGGAUGGAAUUCCGCGUGUAGCAGUGAAAUGCGUAGAUAUGCGGAGGAACACCGAUGGCGAAGGCAAUCCCCUGGACCUGUACUGACGCUCAUGCACGAAAGCGUGGGGAGCAAACAGGAUUAGAAACCCUAGUAGUCCC
rnacentral:rRNA from 1 species